CAAGCGAAGUUAACACCAUGUAGGGGAGCAGGUGCCUAAAAGUCUGGCUUCGCCCCCAAAAGCUGCAGAUCUGAAGAGGAAUCCAUGCUGCCUGCCCUGCUGUGUGCCAUGGAAAGGAAGAAUUCAAGACUGAUGAUGGCAUUCAUGGAGCAGCUGCACAUGGUGGACCAUCACUACUGGGCUCGGGAGGCAAGCACUGAGUGGUGGAAUCAGAUUGUGAUGCAGACCAGAAGAUUCCAAUAGGGGAUGUAGAAAUGCCCAUUCUGAUCUUGGGAGACCUAGCCUACCCCUUACUCCAGCCUUACACCAGAAAUCUUACCAGCAGCAAGGAGCACUUCAACAACAGGCUCAGCAGGUGUAGAAUGCUCUUCUCCACUGCCUCCUCACCCAAGAAGGAAGAUUGCUGAAAACACCUGAAGAAACAAAGGAACUAAACUAGGGGCGAGAGGCUGAGUCCAGGUGAGAAAGGUCUAGCCUGUGAAAGGAAUAGCUGGAGAUUUAAGUUGCUAGCAGUGCAGUUUACCUUCAAGAAACUCCACAACCUGCAUAAAACAACAUUUAGGAAUGCACGGCACCUAAGAAUAUGUAAAAUCUGAAUUUACUUGGCUGAGAUGGUGAGCAGAAAUUCCACCAAAUCUGCUAGGCUCCUUCAGUUGCCAGGGUCCUCAGAUAGUAAAGGAGGGAGACAGGAGACAAGGAAAAUCUUUACUUCAGCAAACAGAGAUACAAGAAAUAGCCACUGGACUUGAGAAUUUGGUCAGCAGUGUUACUAGAAAUGUGACUGUCUUCUCUUGAUGCUGCAGAGAAGCCGUCUUACAAUCACUUCCAUGACAACAGACUGGGAUAUAGUAUAUGCUCAGGAUUAUACCAUCACUGAAUCAUUAAACAGAAGAGUUUGCCUCUGUGAUUGGAAGCCCUUAUUAAAACAAAAUAUAAUUUCAAGGGAAUAUAGAAACACAUUGGCCAAAUAAAGGACUUUUCUUCAAACGUU